UACGUAGGUGGCAAGCGUUGUCCGGAUUUACUGGGCGUAAAGAGCGCGCAGGCGGUCGUGCAAGUCGCGUGUGAAAGCCCCCGGCUCAACUGGGGAGGGUCACGCGAUACUGAUCGACUUGAAGGCAGGAGAGGGAAGCGGAAUUCCCGGUGUAGUGGUGAAAUGCGUAGAUAUCGGGAGGAACACCAGUGGCGAAGGCGGCUUCCUGGCCUGUUCUUGACGCUGAGGCGCGAAAGCUAGGGGAGCAAACGGG
rnacentral:rRNA from 1 species